GGAAUAUUUCUGUGCGUCCAGCAAUCUAGAAAAAAAACCUGUCCUUUUGAAAGUCAGACAAAUGAAACAAAGAAAUUAAAAAAAUAAAAUUCGUGCUCCCGAGACGUCAUGAGAGAUGAACAGAAAAUUCAGUAUUUGAACAGUUGAAAAAAAAAGGCCGAAAAAUUAUUUAGACUCUAUUUGAACAGUUGCCACUGCCGAAGAAGAAAUGAAUUCAUCCGAUAAAAAUUUAAUACAUUAACAAAUUUUCAUCAUGAAAAUACAAUUCAGUCUGCAUUUGGAUAUUCUACGUGUCACUCGGCUGAUGCGGUACAAGAACAAUCAUCCAAUCAGAUAAAAAAAAAAACAUGAGCACGAAAAUUCAUUGGUUUUUACCUGCAGUUCCUCUUUAUCACUAAAGACGAGAAAUAAAAAGGAAAAAGAAGUACGUGUCCAUAUCGUGAGGACACGUCGGUGGAAAUAAAAAGGAAAAAAAAAUGGGUGUAAUAAUUUGUGGCGAUACAGACUGAAAAUGCAUACACCGGGGGAAUGCAUUAUCAUUAACUUGCCAAGCUACCGAGUAAAAAGAAGACAAUGCAGAAUUGGAGACACGAGUCGCCAUCGUCUAGAGUACAUACGACAAAAUGAAAGCCAUUGCUGAUGUGAGUGGCGGUUGUUUGUUCUGAUACAUCGGGCCCAGCGUUCAACAAACUUUAUUAAUUAAUUAAGUUUGUUCGUUCGGCUCGAGUUAUCAGAUCGAUCUCAAAUCAUCUACUUCCUCAGUGAUGCACGAUAAGACUGGAUAUGUUGACGCAGCUCUUGAUCUGUUGGUGAGAAUGAUGUCAGAGUUCUCAGUCUAGCUUUUGACAUCUCCAAGUCCUGAAAUCAUUCGCUGAAUUUAUUUCCAUUUGUAAAUAUUCAUCAGAAAUUACAGAACCAUUAAAUUCCAUUUCAUUCCAGCUCCGAAGAAAAAUAUGGAAGUAAUAAACAUGUCUUCCCUGGUGCAAUUACUGGUUGGAUAUCUCGGAACUGAAGGGAGAUAUUGAAAUUUUUAUAGAGUCCUUUCUUGUAGCUCUCAUUUUUCCUCAAAGAAAAUGUUUCAACGAAAAAAUUGCUAUCGCCGUUGAAUUCUGAGAUAUUGAAGGGAGAAUAUUCGGUUCGUUGAUUUGGUGAAUUGAAUUUUGAGAUGUGAUUGUGAAAAAAUGAGAUGAGAUGAUGUUUUACCUUCAAAAAUUGUGAGUUCCGGGAUUCUGGGUGAUCGUUUACGGAGAUCGUUGAUCUUGAGGAGUUUCUCGGGCCUGAGGGCUGUCGACACGUCAUUAUUCCGCGCUGGGAUUCCCUGAAAGCACCAAAAAUCAACACCAACUUCAAUAGAAAUAACAAUAAACAAUAUCCUACAAUUUUUUCAA